UGCAUAUCCAAAAGCGGAGGAAAAGAAACCAACAGGGAUUGCCUCAGUAACGGCGAGUGAAGCGGCAAAAGCUCAAAUUUGAAAUCUAGCACUUUCAGUGUUCGAGUUGUAAUUUGAAGAAGGUAACUUUGGUUUUGGCUCUUGUCUAUGUUCCUUGGAACAGGACGUCACAGAGGGUGAGAAUCCCGUGCGAUGAGAUGCCCAAUUCCAUGUAAAGUGCUUUCGAAGAGUCGAGUUGUUUGGGAAUGCAGCUCUAAGUGGGUGGUAAAUUCCAUCUAAAGCUAAAUAUUGGCGAGAGACCGAUAGCGAACAAGUACAGUGAUGGAAAGAUGAAAAGAACUUUGAAAAGAGAGUGAAAAAGUACGUGAAAUUGUUGAAAGGGAAGGGCUUGAGAUCAGACUUGGUAUUUUCCUUCCCUUCCUUUUUGGUUGGGUUCCUCGCAGUUUACUGGGCCAGCAUCGGUUUGGAUGUAGGAUAAUGACAUUGGAAUGUAGCUUUACUUCGUAAUGUUAUAGACUUUGUUGAUACUGCCUAUCUAGACCGAGGACUGCGUCUUUGACUAGGA
rnacentral:rRNA from 1 species